GUCAACUCUUUGAACUGGAAUACAAGGUCAACCCAGUAACAUCUUGCGAUAUAUUUGCAUGGAGUUUGCUUGAAAUGACAAUGUCUGCUUCUCUCAGUCACAAUCAGGCAAGUAGAUCCGCAGCCUUCUCCUUUAUUUAUUUAUUUCGAAAGAAAAAAACUUUGUUUUUUGGUAAUCAAGAUUCAUCUUUUUAAGGUGUUGCGAGAUCCAUUGAGAUGGCCAUGUUUCUUGUUUCAAGCAUGAAGAGGAAAGAAGGUUCAGAGAUUGACAAACCUGAUCUCUCAUUAAGUUCUCAGAGUAAAAAGAUCAAGACAGUUCUGGUGCAGGAAGAAGAACAAGAACAGCUUCUGCAAAACCCACCAGGCUUGUGCUCAAAUUUGAACUCUGCUUGUGAAGAUUUCAAUCAAGAGGAUUAGAAACUGAUGGUAUCUGAUGAUGAGAUGCAAACAGAACAUGAAUCAGAGAAUGAAGUGAUAAAUUAUGAUCAAAUAAUGGAGGAAUUAAUGGAUGUUGAGGAUGAAUCAGCAUCAAGAACAGGAAGUGGAGAUGAUGCUUUGGAGCAAAAGCAUCAGCUGCCAGUUUUAUGGCCAGGUUUUUUUUAAGCAGCAAUUUAUUAUUGACCGUUUAGCCUGGAAGCAUAUGAAGAACUACUAGUCACAGCCUAUGAAAGAAUAAGUGCAAACAUUUCUUCAAGAUGGAGAAUUUUUGCAACUUAACGUAGGAUACUUCCAUCUUGUCAUUAUGAUCUUUAAGUGGUGUCUAUCUUAAUUAUUUAGCUCACCAAGUGUGCAAUGGAAAGGAAAAGUGUGA